rnacentral:tRNA from 1 species
AGCAGAGUGGCGCAGUGUAACAGUGCCUUGCCAGUGACCAGAAGGUCAAUGGAUCAAAACCAUCCUCUGCUA